AAAAGUAUAAAAAUUAAAUUCAAAGGAAAGAAUAUGAUAAUAUAUUAAAUUCGAGUUUGUUGUAGUAUAUAAUUGUUGGUAGACUUGGUGGAUGAUGAAGUUAUUUGUUGAAUCCCGAAACAAAUAUGAAUCCGACUUGCAAUAAAUACAAGACUUAAAAAUUGAAAUUUAAGAAGGAUUUCAUUUCAGACAGUCUUGAACAAUAAU
rnacentral:lncRNA from 1 species